ensembl:miRNA
UAUUUGAUUGGUGCAAAAGUAAUUGCAGUUUUUGUGAUUGAAAGUAAGGGCAAAAAUCGCAAUUACUUUUGCACCAAACUAAUAUAA